rnacentral:rRNA from 1 species
CCUACGGGGGGCAGCAGUGAGGAAUAUUGGUCAAUGGACGCAAGUCUGAACCAGCCAUGCCGCGUGCAGGAAGACGGCUCUAUGAGUUGUAAACUGCUUUUGUACGAGGGUAAACGCAGAUACGCGUAUCUGUCUGAAAGUAUCGUACGAAUAAGGAUCGGCUAACUCCGUGCCAGCAGCCGCGGUAAGACGGAGGAUUCAAGCGUUAUCCGGAUUUAUUGGGGUUAAAGGGUGCGGCGGCGGUCGGGUAUGUUAGAGGUGAAAUCCGGAGGCUCAAAUUUGGGAUUGCUUCUGAUACUGUUCGGCUAGAGAGUAGUUGCGGUAGGCGGAAUGUAUGGUGUAGCGGUGAAAUGCUUAGAGAU